GUGGUUCUUCCUCCUUGUCGUUCUUGGCCUCCUUGGAAUGUUUCCUGGAUUGGCAUGGAGACAUGUUCAACUUUCUCGUGGACUUCUGUUGUGAGUGACCGUUCUUCCCCUCCGGUGUGACUCCUCUCCGUGCCCUCAAACAAUUAGAUUAUAACAACAUCAGCGUCAAAAGAUCACAACACCAGUAUCAUUCGUGACAAAAUUGCAACUAUAUAUCAUACAUUGAUUAGAGACAUUAAAGAAAUAUUCCGCAUGACAAUUAUUUUUUACGAGCAUUGUAGAAGUAAAAGUAUUAACAAUGUAAAAGCAGAUACCUGUCUUUCACCUCUCUUGGCCUCUACCUCUCUCUGUGCCUCUUCCUUCUUCCUAGCAGUAUAUUCCUUCAUGGUCUCACCAGUAGACACUGCAGCAUCCUUAGCAGCAACCAACGGCUUCGAGACAAUCUCCGCGGCCUUAUGACCAGCAUACUCAGCCGCUCCUUCAACCGCCCUCACCGCUGCCAUUGUCCCCUCAACCACUUUC
rnacentral:lncRNA from 1 species